ACAACAAUGGGACCGUCGAUCUACCGAGCAAUAUCACCCGCUCGGUGAAAAAUCUGCCCUUUGUCGU
rnacentral:pre_miRNA from 1 species